ACGUGACGCGUGUUAGUGGCGUGGCCUGUAACUGCAGAAAUCCAUGUGAAUAUGGACACAUGCAGAUGGGAUCUGAUCCUUGCAGUAUAUAAUGUGAACAGGUCUUCUUGCAGCAAAGGCACAUCGACCGUGUGGCCCCUACAUAUACAUAUACAUAUAU